rnacentral:lncRNA from 1 species
CGCGCCCCGGGUCAUUAGCCGCCCCCAUAAGCCCGUCGCGCGCGGCCUCCCAGACCCCGUCUGUGGUACCGUCGCGCGCGGCCUCCCGGGCCUCGUCCGUGGUCCCGUCGCGCGAGGCUUCCCGGGUCCCCUCGUUGGUGCUAUCGAGCAUGGACUCCAGGGUCCCAUCGCUGGCCACUUCAAAGGACACUCUCCGCUCUACGAAGUCUGGCCCCAAGCUUCGCUCUGGCCUGUCCCGGGAUCGGGAUCCGGCUCUUCUCCCCCCACAGUCGGAGGACAGCGUGAUCGCUGAAGCUGCGGCAGAAGCCUCCCCGGGUAGAGCCUGAACCUGCAGAGAGUGAGGCCCGGGAGGCCCUAGUGUGGGCGAGUCAGGCGCGCAGGGCGCUUACGGGGAUAAUGCAAUGGUUAAUAAAGGCGUGGCCCCCAGGCGGCUCUGACACCCGCGUGCAUGCUCUAGCAUUUCCGGCCGGCCACUCAUUCGUGCGUCCAAUUUCCAAGCUGCAAGAGAGCUCAGCGCCUGCUUUCCCUGAAUGCCCUUUGGGACCCCGCAUCCCUGCCCUCAGUGGGGCCCUACCGCGAGCCGGCAGGCUCAGAGCAAGCCCGGGCACUGGCGGGCGCGGACGUGCGACGAAGCAGCAGCUGGCAGCUGGGCCGCUACGGUGAGGCCCGGGGGAAAAGCGUAGACUUUGUUCUCCGCGCCAAGGGGGUGUCUUAUGUUCAACCUACUGGGA